UACGUAGGGGGCAAGCGUUGUCCGGAUUUAUUGGGCGUAAAGAGCGUGUAGGCGGCCAGAUAGGUCAGCUGUGAAAACUCGAGGCUCAACUUCGAGCUGUCGGUGGAAACUGUCUGGCUAGAGUCCGGAAGAGGAGAAUGGAAUUCCUGGUGUAGCGGUGAAAUGCGCAGAUAUCCGGAGGAACACCAGAGGCGAAGGCGGCCUACUGGGUCAGUACUGACGCUGAGCCGCGAAAGCCAGGGGAGCGAACGGG
rnacentral:rRNA from 1 species